rnacentral:rRNA from 1 species
GUCCACGCCCUAAACGAUGAUAACUUAGUGUUGGGAGUAAUCCCAGUGCUGAAGCUAACGCGAUAAGUUAUCCACCUGAGGAGUACGGUCGCAAGAUUAAAACUCAAAGGAAUAGACGGGGACCCACACAAGCAGUGGAUCACGUGGUUUAAUUCGACAAUAAACGGGGAACCUUACCCAGACUUGACAUCCUAAGAAUCUGCUGGAAACAGGAGAGUGCUCGCAAGAGAGCUUAGAGACAGGUGCUGCAUGGUUGUCGU